AAGUCGUAACAAGGUUUCCGUAGGUGAACCUGCGGAAGGAUCAUUAUCAUACAAUAGAGGUGCUGGGGUUGUCGCUGACCUUUGAAAGGGUUGUGCACGCCUCGGUGCUCUCGCACAUAUCCAUCUCACCCUUGUGCAUCACCGCGUGGGGGCCCCUUUUGGUUAUUUCUGAGGGGGGCUUUUCACGUUUUUACACAAACACCCUUUUAAUGCAUGUGUAGAAUGUCUUACUUGUUGUGAUCACACACAAUCAAUACAACUUUCAACAACGGAUCUCUUGGCUCUCGCAUCGAUGAAGAACGCAGCGAAAUGCGAUACGUAAUGUGAAUUGCAGAAUUCAGUGAAUCAUCGAAUCUUUGAACGCACCUUGCGCCCUUUGGUAUUCCGAGGGGCACACCCGUUUGAGUGUCGUGACAUUCUCAAACCUUCUUGGUUUCUUGACCGGGAAGGCUUUGGACUUUGGAGGCUUUUGCUGGCCUUCUCUUGUUGAAGCCAGCUCCUCUGAAAUGAAUUAGCGGGGUCUGCUUUGCUAAUCCUUGACGUGAUAAGAUGCUUCUACGUCUUGGGUUUUGCACUGUUCCGCUUCUAACCGUCUCAUAGAAGACAAUGGCCGAGUGAUUGCCACUUGACCCACAACCCUUGACCUCAAAUCGGGUGAGACUACCCGCUGAACUUAA
rnacentral:sRNA from 1 species